AACGCACCUUGCGCUCCUUGGUAUUCCGAGGAGCAUGCCUGUUUGAGUGUCAUUAAAUUCUCAACCAUCCCAUUUUCUUUUGAACUUGGGCUGUGUUGGAUGUGGGGAUCUGCCAGCGCUUAUUACUUAAGACUUGGCUUCCCUUAAAUGUAUUAGCUAGAGCGCUUCUGUUGACUAGCCGCUAGUGUGAUAAUAUCUACACUGUGACCAAGCCAGCCUUUGAAAUGAAGGAACUCUGCUUCAAAUCGUCUGCUUGCAGACAAUCUAUGACAACUUGACCUCAAAUCAGGUAGGACUACCCGCUGAACUUAA
rnacentral:misc_RNA from 1 species